rnacentral:lncRNA from 1 species
GUCUGUUCAGAACCAAUACCGAGCUUUCAAAACUUGCUGUUGAACAUUAGACAAUUUAUUCUUGAUUGAAUCUACUCCAACCCUUUAUAUAAUUUAAUCACCUUCAUAUAGGAUGAAAUUUUUGAGAGAAAGCAAGGAGAGUGGGGAAGCUAACCUAUCCUUCUGUUUGCUGAAUCUGACCUUCGUCCAAGAGUUCAGGCUUCUACAUGAGGAAUGUGCUUUCUGACGUCAAGUUUCAGCUAGGCCAAGAGAUGAUUACUUUGAUGCGGUCGGUUCCAUUGGUCAAUUCUUCAGGAGAAGUCCCGAAACUGAACUAGUCAAUUGAUAGGAUCGUAGCUAACCCACUGGCUUUUCAUCG